rnacentral:rRNA from 1 species
AGCGAACGCUGGCGGCAGGCCUAACACAUGCAAGUCGAACGAACUCUUCGGAGUUAGUGGCGGACGGGUGAGUAACACGUGGGAACGUGCCUUUAGGUUCGGAAUAACUCAGGGAAACUUGUGCUAAUACCGAAUGUGCCCUUCGGGGGAAAGAUUUAUCGCCUUUAGAGCGGCCGCGUCUGAUUAGCUAGUUGGUGAGGUAAAGGCUCACCAAGGCGACGAUCAGUAGCUGGUCUGAGAGGAUGAUCAGCCACAUUGGGACUGAGACACGGCCCAAACUCCUACGGGAGGCAGCAGUGGGGAAUCUUGCGCGAUGGGCGAAAGCCUGACGCAGCCAUGCCGCGUGAAUGAUGAAGGUCUUAGGAUUGUAAAAUUCUUUCACCGGGGACGAUAAUGACGGUACCCGGAGAAGAAGCCCCGGCUAACUUCGUG